rnacentral:tRNA from 4 species
GCCCUCGUAGCUCAGGGGAUAGAGCACCGCUCUCCUAAAGCGGGUGUCGCAGGUUCGAUUCCUGCCGGGGGCA